rnacentral:lncRNA from 1 species
CUGCUUCCAUUCCAUAUACAAGAGAGAAAGGGGUUUCCCCAAUUGAAGUGCGAACGGAUGUACCAUACCCAUGAAGAGAAAAAGUGGGCAUCUCAUGCCAGUCCUUGCAAGCCACAACCAUUUUUUGGAUGAUCUUCUUUAUAUUCUUGUUCGCAUCUUCAACGACCCCAUUCAUCUUAGGUCUGUAAGGAGAUGAGUUAUGGUGUUCAAUCUUG